GACGAACGCUGGCGGCGUGCCUAAUGCAUGCAAGUAGAACGCUGAAGGAGGAGCUUGCUUCUCUGGAUGAGUUGCGAACGGGUGAGUAACGCGUAGGUAACCUGCCUGGUAGCGGGGGAUAACUAUUGGAAACGAUAGCUAAUACCGCAUAAUAGUAGAUGUUGCAUGACAUUUGCUUAAAAGGUGCAAUUGCAUCACUACCAGAUGGACCUGCGUUGUAUUAGCUAGUUGGUGAGGUAACGGCUCACCAAGGCAACGAUACAUAGCCGACCUGAGAGGGUGAUCGGCCACACUGGGACUGAGACACGGCCCAGACUCCUACGGGAGGCAGCAGUAGGGAAUCUUCGGCAAUGGACGGAAGUCUGACCGAGCAACGCCGCGUGAGUGAAGAAGGUUUUCGGAUCGUAAAGCUCUGUUGUAAGAGAAGAACGAGUGUGAGAGUGGAAAGUUCACACUGUGACGGUAUCUUACCAGAAAGGGACGGCUAACUACGUG
rnacentral:rRNA from 1 species